UUGACCUCGGAUCAGGUAGGACUACCCGCUGAACUUAAGCAUAUCAAUAAGCGGAGGAAAAGAAACCAACAGGGAUUGCCCCAGUAACGGCGAGUGAAGCGGCAACAGCUCAGAUUUGGAAUCUGGCCCCCAGGGCCCGAGUUGUAAUCUGGAGAGGAUGCUUCUGGCGCGGCGCCUUCCGAGUUCCCUGGAACGGGACGCCGGAGAGGGUGAGAGCCCCGUACGGUCGGACGCCUAGCCUCUGUGAAGCUCCUUCGACGAGUCGAGUAGUUUGGGAAUGCUGCUCAAAAUGGGAGGUAAAUUUCUUCUAAAGCUAAAUACCGGCCAGAGACCGAUAGCGCACAAGUAGAGUGAUCGAAAGAUGAAAAGCACUUUGAAAAGAGGGUUAAACAGUACGUGAAAUUGUUGAAAGGGAAGCGCCCGUGGCCAGACUUGUGCCCAGCGGACCACCCGGCGUUCUCGCCGGUGCACUCCGCUGGGCGCAGGCCAGCAUCGGUUCUUCUAGGGGGACAAAGGUCGCGGGAACGUAGCUCCCUCGGGAGUGUUAUAGCCCGCGGCGCCAUGCCCCUGGGGGGACCGAGGACCGCGCUUCGGCAAGGAUGC
rnacentral:rRNA from 1 species